GAAAUAGAUACCCGGGUAGUCCACGCUGUAAACGAUGAGGACUAGAUGUUGGUAGGGGAACCUAUCGGUAUCGAAGCAAACGCGAUAAGUCUUCCGCCUGGGAAGUACGGCCGCAAGGUUGAAACUCAAAUGAAUUGACGGGGGCCCGCGCAAGCGGUGGAGCAUGUGGUUUAAUUCGAUGCAACGCGAAGAACCUUACCUACCCUUGACAUCCUAGGAACCCUGCAGAGACGUAGGGGUGCCGAAAGGAACCUAGAGACAGGUGCUGCAUGGCUGUCGUCAGCUCGUGUUGUGAGAUGUUGGGUUAAGUCCCGUAACGAGCGCAACCCUUGCCCUUAGUUGCCAGCAUUAAGUUGGGGACUCUAAGGGGACUGCCGGUGAUGAACCGGAGGAAGGCGGGGACGACGUCAAGUCAUCAUGGCCUUUAUGGGUAGGGCUACACACGUGCUACAAUGGGGCGUACAGAGGGUAGCCAACCCGCGAGGGGGAGCCGAAUCUCAGAAAGCGUCUCGUAGUCCGGAUUGGAGUCUGCAACUCGACUCCAUGAAGUUGG
rnacentral:rRNA from 1 species